UACAGAGGUCUCAAGCGUUGUUCGGAAUCACUGGGCGUAAAGGGUGCGUAGGCGGCACGGUAAGUCAGAGGUGAAAUCCCGGAGCUCAACUUCGGAAUUGCCUCCGAUACUGCCGUGCUUGAGGACUGGAGAGGAGAUUGGAUUUCACAGUGGAGCAGUGAAAUGCGUAGAUAUUGUGAGGAACACUAGUGGCGAAGGCGAAUCUCUGGACAGUUCCUGACGCUGAGGCACGAAGGCCAGGGGAGCAAACGGG
rnacentral:rRNA from 1 species